GAUAUAUAGCCAAUACUAUCUUCCAUUUGAUGUUCCCUGACGACCUUCUUUUAAUUGCAAAGGCUACUAAAAGGAAUGCCCAAACACUGAAGAAAGUUGUUAUGGAAUACUACUUGCAAUUUGGCGAAUGGGUCAACGCCAACAAAUCCAUGAUUAGGUUUAGCAGCAGGGUUAAUGUUCAGACUAAAUAAUAUAUUGUUAACCUU
rnacentral:lncRNA from 1 species